GUAGGCGCGCGGCGACGCCGCGGCCUGCCAUUCUCCUCUUGUCGUUGUUGCUCCGGGGCUUAAUUGAGCCCCGGUUUUUUUUU
rnacentral:ncRNA from 1 species